CUUGGUCAUUUAGAGGAAGUAAAAGUCGUAACAAGGUUUCCGUAGGUGAACCUGCGGAAGGAUCAUUAAUGAAUUAAAGUCGGUCUUCUGUGCUGGUGGUGACACAUGUGCACGUUGAUCGCAAAUCCACACACCUGUGCACCUUUGACUUUAGGAUCCGCUUGUUGGCUUGUCUGACUUGCAGCUGAUGUUGGUUUUGUGCUCAUCUGGAUCUUAGAGUAAUUUUACACACUCUGAAUGUAAUGGAAUGUUCCUGUGCAUAAUGCGCAAAAUACAACUUUCAACAACGGAUCUCUUGGCUCUCGCAUCGAUGAAGAACGCAGCGAAAUGUGAUAAGUAGUGUGAAUUGCAGAAUUCAGUGAAUCAUCGAAUCUUUGAACGCACAUUGCGCCCCUCGGUAUCCCGGGGGGCAUGCCUGUUCGAGCGUCAUUUCUACCAUUCAAGCUUGCUUGGUUUUGGGUAUUGUAGCACUCUUAAUUUAGGGGUCUACAUAUCUUAAAUGUAGACGGCAGCAAGUAUAAGUUCUGAGCGUAGCAGUAAUAACAUUUCGCUUUUAGAAACUAUAUUUGUUAACCGGAAAAGUAUAUUUACAGUUUGACCUCGGAUCAGGCAGGGAUACCCGCUGAACUUAAGCAUAUCAAUAAGCGGAGGA
rnacentral:rRNA from 1 species